GCCGAAGUGGCGAAAUUGGCAGACGCACCAUCUUGAGGGGGUGGCGCCUAUGGCGUGCGGGUUCAAAUCCCGCCUUCGGCA
rnacentral:tRNA from 1 species